AAAAAAAGGAGAUUUUUGCCAUCAUUGAAAAUCUAUGAAGUUUUUUUUUUUUUUAAUUUAUAAAUAUACUUUAUUAAACUGGUUGCCUAUUUUUGAGUAAUUAAAGUGGUUUUUCCCUACUACAAGUAACUACAGUGAAUGUCUUUGGGUGAUAUAUGUAAUUAUUUCUUUAGGACCAGUUCCAAGAAGUGGAAUGGCACAGUUAAAGCACAUAGAUUAUUUUCUUUAAGAGCUAUGAUAAUAUUUCCAAAUACCAGUGUCCACCCCACUAAAAACGUAAUGAGAAUGGUCAUUUCCUCAGUCUGUGAUCAAUACUGGAUAUUUAGCUUUUAAAUAUUUUUGCUUUUUAGAGGUAGAAAAUACAGUUUAUUUGAUUUUUAUUUGUGAUAACAGCUGAGCUUAAGUAAUGACAUAUUACGUACUGUGUUUCUUUCAUGCAAUAUCUGUUUAGUAUUUUGUUCAGUUUUUCCUUUAUUGUCUGUCUUAUCAGUUUGUAGAACAUUGACUGUUUUCACUUUUCUUGCAGAUACCUCAAGUUUGGCAUUCCAUUCAUUUAAAAAAAAAAAACACACCAUUUUUAGAUACCCACUGACAUGGUGAAGUAAAGACAUUGUUAGGAAAAGGGCAUGUAGGAUGUGUAUCAUGAAUCAAAAGAGAACUAUCUUGGAUGAUCUCUUUGUUGUUAAGCCCAGUGAUUGUCUGUGUGAGGGGGU